rnacentral:rRNA from 1 species
UACGUAGGUGGCGAGCGUUGUCCGGAUUUACUGGGCGUAAAGAGCGCGCAGGCGGUCGUUCAAGUCGCGUGUGAAAGCCCCCGGCUCAACUGGGGAGGGUCACGCGAUACUGAUCGACUCGAAGGCAGGAGAGGGUAGUGGAAUUCCCGGUGUAGUGGUGAAAUGCGUAGAUAUCGGGAGGAACACCAGCGGCGAAGGCGGCAUCCUGGACUGGUCCUGACACUCAGGAGCGAAAGCGUGGGGAGCGAUCCGG